AUUAGAAUAGAGUUGUCUGUGAUGGUGGAGAUUGGCUGAAAAGGGGCUCAAGGGAUCUUUCUGGUUGGUGGAAAUAUCCUGUCUUGAUUGGAGCUUUAGUUAUGCAGCUUCAGUAUCUGAAAGAGGGAAAUCAUUCUACCCUUUCACAGUCUCCACGAGAGAAUAAAUGAGAUCAGGAAUAUAAAGUACCUAUCAUGAUACUACAUACAUAGAACAGAGUUUUCAACAGACUGACGCUCCCUUAAAGUUCAUUUUAGUCGAGUAAGUCAUCUGAAUCAUAACUGGAAAUGCGUCUAAGCUACUGCCCAUAUCUCUGUGAUAUACUUCAAAAUAACCUUGGUUUGAAUUAAGCUUGCAGAUAAAUGGACAAAAAUAUCUUAAUAUGGAGCAGAAAUCUUAAAGGAAGA
rnacentral:lncRNA from 1 species